AAUAUCAAAGGUGAGCCAGUACAGGAUGGACCCGCGUCUGAUUAGCUAGUUGGUAAGGUAACGGCUUACCAAGGCGACGAUCAGUAGCCGACCUGAGCGGGUGAUCGGCCACAUUGGAACUGAGACACGGUCCAAACUCCUACGGGAGGCAGCAGUGGGGAAUAUUGCACAAUGGGCGAAAGCCUGAUGCAGCAACGCCGCGUGAGUGAUGAAGGCCUUCGGGUCGUAAAACUCUGUCCUCAAGGAAGAUAAUGACGGUACUUGAGGAGGAAGCCCCGGCUAACUACGUGCCAGCAGCCGCGGUAAUACGUAGGGGGCUAGCGUUAUCCG
rnacentral:rRNA from 1 species